AUUGAACGCUGGCGGCAGGCUUAACACAUGCAAGUCGAGCGGGGUGAUGGUGCUUGCACUAUCACUUAGCGGCGGACGGGUGAGUAAUGCUUAGGAAUCUGCCUAUUAGUGGGGGACAACAUCUCGAAAGGGAUGCUAAUACCGCAAACGUCCUACGGGAGAAAGCAGGGGAUCACUUGUGACCUUGCGCUAAUAGAUGAGCCUAAGUCGGAUUAGCUAGUUGGUGGGGUAAAGGCCUACCAAGGCGACGAUCUGUAGCGGGUCUGAGAGGAUGAACCGCCACACAGGGAAUGAGACACGGCCCAGACUCCGACGGGAGGCAGCAGUGGGGAAGAUUGGACAAUGGGGGGAACCCUGAUCCAGCCAUGCCGCGUGUGUGAAGAAGGCCUUAUGGUUGUAAAGCACUUUAAGCGAGGAGGAGGCUCUUUUGGUUAAUACCCAAGAUGAGUGGACGUUACUCGCAGAAUAAGCACCGGCUAACUCCGUGCCAGCCGCCGCAGUAA
rnacentral:rRNA from 1 species